rnacentral:rRNA from 1 species
ACGGCCGCAAGGUUAAAACUCAAAUGAAUUGACGGGGGCCCGCACAAGCGGUGGAGCAUGUGGUUUAAUUCGAUGCAACGCGAAGAACCUUACCUGGUCUUGACAUCCACGGAAGUUUUCAGAGAUGAGAAUGUGCCUUCGGGAACCGUGAGACAGGUGCUGCAUGGCUGUCGUCAGCUCGUGUUGUGAAAUGUUGGGUUAAGUCCCGCAACGAGCGCAACCCUUAUCCUUUGUUGCCAGCGGUCCGGCCGGGAACUCAAAGGAGACUGCCAGUGAUAAACUGGAGGAAGGUGGGGAUGACGUCAAGUCAUCAUGGCCCUUACGACCAGGGCUACACACGUGCUACAAUGGCGCAUACAAAGAGAAGCGACCUCGCGAGAGCAAGCGGACCUCAUAAAGUGCGUCGUAGUCCGGAUUGGAGUCUGCAACUCGACUCCAUGAAGUCGGAAUCGCUAGUAAUCGUGGAUCAGAAUGCCACGGUGAAUACGUUCCCGGGCCUUGUACACACCGCCCGUCACACCAUGGGAGUGGGUUGCAAAAGAAGUAGGUAGCUUAACCUUCGGGAGGGCGCUUACCACUUUGUGAUUCAUGACUGGGG